rnacentral:lncRNA from 1 species
ACUUGCUUGAUGAAACUGGAAAAUUGCAUUGCUCAUCCCAUGAAUGCUUUGCAUUAACUUAAACACAACUUUUACAUAUCAAGACACACUGUCCCAUUGAUGCAGUUACACAAGAACACAUCAUUAGGUUGUAUCCCUCAAUGCUAUCUUUUAAUCUGACUCUGCAUGUGUGACAGAAAUUAAUUGCCACUUUCAUCAGUGUAGACAACCAAUCUGGGUAAUGCAAUGUGAACAAGUUUUUGAAAAAGAAGAAAAAGUUUAGGGACCAAAUUACCCAUUCUCUUUUUCUUCAGAUUUUCUAAAAAUCAGAUUUCAAGUUCGUUUUCUAAAUUGGGAAUUGUUGAAAAUAGAGUGAGCUCCUCCCCAGUACCUGGUAAUAAACCAACAAUCAUUAUAGAACGUUUAUAAUGGUAAAUUAGAUUAUAUGUGUAAUGUGCUUAGCAGAGUGUCUUUGUGCAUAUCGAGCACCUAACAUUGUUAUACCGAGAACAGUAAGAUGAUAUAUGUUCACACUGAGUGUUCAUCUGAAGACCUUGAUUUACAAAAUAGAAGCUACCGGUUUAAAUCACCUUUAUUUAAAUUUCCUAAAAGAUAUUUGGUAUCUUUAGAGAAUGAAGCCCCUUCUGAAGACAGG